rnacentral:rRNA from 1 species
GUCGAGGAUCAUUCGCAAUGGGCGCAAGCCUGACGAUGCGACGCUGCGUGGAGGAUGAAGGCCUUCGGGUUGUAAACUCCUGUCAUUCGGGAACAAGCGCGAGGGGGAUAAUAUUCCCUUUGUUUGAUAGUACCGGAAGAGGAAGCGGCUGCUAACUCUGUGCCAGCAGCAGCGGUAAUACAGAGGCCGCAAGCGUUGUUCGGAUUUACUGGGCGUAAAGGGUGCGUAGGUGGUUUCGUGUGUCGGAUGUGAAAUCUGACUGCUUGCCGGUCAAAUUGCGUUCGAAACUGCGAAACUUGAGGGCAGGAGAGGAGAGCGGAAUUCUCGGUGUAGCGGUGAAAUGCGUUGAUAUCGAGAGGAACACCGGUGGCGAAGGCGGCUCUCUGGAAUGCAUCUGACACUGAGGCACGAAAGUUGGGGGAGCAAACAGGAUUAGAUACCCUGGUAGUCC